AACCAUAGAAACCUGCGGAGUACCUGCGGAAGGAUCAUUACAGAGUUAUCCAACUCCCAAACCCAUGUGAACUUAUCUCUUUGUUGCCUCGGCGCAAGCUACCCGGGACCCAGCGCCCCGGGCGGCCCGCCGGCGGACAAACCAAAACUCUUGUUAUCUUAGUUGAUUAUCUGAGCGUCUUAUUUAAUAAGUCAAAACUUUCAGCAACGGAUCU
rnacentral:misc_RNA from 1 species